GAUGAACGCUGGCGGCGUGCCUAAUACAUGCAAGUCGAGCGAACAGACGAGGAGCUUGCUCCUCUGACGUUAGCGGCGGACGGGUGAGUAACACGUGGAUAACCUACCUAUAAGACUGGGAUAACUUCGGGAAACCGGAGCUAAUACCGGAUAAUAUAUUGAACCGCAUGGUUCAAUAGUGAAAGACGGUUUUGCUGUCACUUAUAGAUGGAUCCGCGCCGCAUUAGCUAGUUGGUAAGGUAACGGCUUACCAAGGCAACGAUGCGUAGCCGACCUGAGAGGGUGAUCAGCCACACUGGAACUGAGACACGGUCCAGACUCCUACGGGAGGCAGCAGUAGGGAAUCUUCCGCAAUGGGCGAAAGCCUGACGGAGCCACGCCGCGUGAGUGAUGAAGGUCUUCGGAUCGUAAAACUCUGUUAUUAGGGAAGAACAAAUGUGUAAGUAACUAUGCACGUCUUGACGGUACCUAAUCAGAAAGCCACGGCUAACUACGUG
rnacentral:rRNA from 1 species